rnacentral:hammerhead_ribozyme from 1 species
AUCCCGCUGACGAGUCCCAAACAGGACGAAACCCCCAUCAUAGAU